rnacentral:rRNA from 1 species
AACGUAGGAGACAAACGUUAUCCGGAGUUACUGGGCGUAAAGGGCGUGCAGGUGGUCCGUUAAGUCUGGCGUGAAAGCUCUCGGCUAAACCGGGAGAGGUCGUUGGAUACUGGCGGACUAGAGGACGGUAGAGGCGUGUGGAAUUCCGGGUGUAGUGGUGAAAUGCGUAGAGAUCCGGAGGAACACCAGUGGCGAAGGCGACACGCUGGGCCGUACCUGACACUAAAACGCGACAGCAUGGGGAGCGAACGGG